AGUGGGAUAAUUGGGUCAAAUGGUGGUUCCAUUCUGAGGAAUCUCUAUACUGCUUUCCAAGUGAUCACACCAAUUUGCAGUCCCACCAGCAAU
rnacentral:pre_miRNA from 1 species